UACGUAGGGGGCGAGCGUUGUCCGGAAUCAUUGGGCGUAAAGCGCGUGUAGGCGGUUUGGUAGGUCUCGCGUUAAAGCCCGCAGCUCAACUGCGGAGGUGCGCGGGAAACCACCUCACUAGAGUCCGGAAGAGGAGAGUGGAAUUCCAGGUGUAGCGGUGAAAUGCGCAGAUAUCUGGAGGAACACCAGUGGCGAAGGCGGCUCUCUGGGACGGUACUGACGCUGAGACGCGAAAGCGUGGGGAGCGAACAGG
rnacentral:rRNA from 1 species